CUGAACCAGCCAAGUAGCGUGAAGGAUGACUGCCCUAUGGGUUGUAAACUUCUUUUAUUCGGGAAUAAAGUGAGCCACGUGUGGCUUUUUGUAUGUACCGUAUGAAUAAGGAUCGGCUAACUCCGUGCCAGCAGCCGCGGUAAUACGGAGGAUGCGAGCGUUAUCCGGAUUUAUUGGGUUUAAAGGGAGCGUAGGUGGUGAUUUAAGUCAGUUGUGAAAGUUUGCGG
rnacentral:rRNA from 1 species